rnacentral:rRNA from 1 species
AUUGAACGCUGGCGGAAUGCUUUACACAUGCAAGUCGAACGGCAGCACGGGGCAACCUGGUGGCGAGUGGCGAACGGGUGAGUAAUACAUCGGAACGUGCCCAAUCGUGGGGGAUAACGUAGCGAAAGUUACGCUAAUACCGCAUACGAUCUACGGAUGAAAGCGGGGGAUCGCAAGACCUCGCGCGAAUGGAGCGGCCGAUGUCAGAUUAGGUAGUUGGUGGGGUAAAGGCUCACCAAGCCAACGAUCUGUAGCUGGUCUGAGAGGACGACCAGCCACACUGGAACUGAGACACGGUCCAGACUCCUACGGGAGGCAGCAGUGGGGAAUUUGGACAAUGGGGGCAACCCUGAUCCAGCCAUGCCGCGUGAGUGAAGAAGGCCUUCGGGUUGUAAAGCUCUUUCGGCCGGGAAAAAUACGCAUCAGUUAAUACCUGGUGUGGAUGAUGUACCGGAAUAAGAAGCACCGGCUAACUACGUGCCAGCAGCCGCGGU